rnacentral:rRNA from 1 species
UGGGGAAUAUUGGACAAUGGGCGAAAGCCUGAUCCAGCCAUGCCGGGUGUGUGAAGAAGGUCUUCGGAUUGUAAAGCACUUUAAGUUGGGAGGAAGGGCAGUAAGCGAAUACCUUGCUGUUUUGACGUUACCGACAGAAUAAGCACCGGCUAACUCUGUGCCAGCAGCCGCGGUAAUACAGAGGGUGCAAGCGUUAAUCGGAAUUACUGGGCGUAAAGCGCGCGUAGGUGGUUCGUUAAGUUGAAUGUGAAAGCCCCGGGCUCAACCUGGGAACUGCAUCCAAAACUGGCGAGCUAGAGUAGGGCAGAGGGUGGUGGAAUUUCCUGUGUAGCGGUGAAAUGCGUAGAUAUAGGAAGGAACACCAGUGGCGAAGGCGACCACCUGGGCUCAUACUGACACUGAGGUGCGAAAGCGUGGGGAGCAAACAGG